rnacentral:rRNA from 1 species
AGUGAACGCUGGCGGUAGGCCUAACACAUGCAAGUCGAACGGCAGCACAGUAAGAGCUUGCUCUUACGGGUGGCGAGUGGCGGACGGGUGAGGAAUACAUCGGAAUCUACUUUUUCGUGGGGGAUAACGUAGGGAAACUUACGCUAAUACCGCAUACGACCUACGGGUGAAAGCAGGGGAUCUUCGGACCUUGCGCGAUUGAAUGAGCCGAUGUCGGAUUAGCUAGUUGGCGGGGUAAAGGCCCACCAAGGCGACGAUCCGUAGCUGGUCUGAGAGGAUGAUCAGCCCCACUGGAACUGAGACACGGUCCAGACUCCUACGGGAGGCAGCAGUGGGGAAUAUUGGACAAGGGGCGCAAGCCUGAUCCAGCCAUACCGCGUGGGUGAAGAAGGCCUUCGGGUUGUAAAGCCCUUUUGUUGGGAAAGAAAAGCAGCAGGUUAAUACCCCGCUGUUCUGACGGUACCCAAAGAAUAAGCACCGGCUAACUUCGU